rnacentral:rRNA from 1 species
CGAACGAUGAUCUCCAGCUUGCUGGGGGGAUUAGUGGCGAACGGGUGAGUAACACGUGAGUAACCUGCCCUUGACUCUGGGAUAAGCCUGGGAAACUGGGUCUAAUACUGGAUACGACCUUCCAUCGCAUGGUGGUUGGUGGAAAGCUUUUGUGGUUUUGGAUGGACUCGCGGCCUAUCAGCUUGUUGGUGGGGUAAUGGCCUACCAAGGCGACGACGGGUAGCCGGCCUGAGAGGGUGGACGGCCACACUGGGACUGAGACACGGCCCAGACUCCUACGGGAGGCAGCAGUGGGGAAUAUUGCACAAUGGGCGCAAGCCUGAUGCAGCGACGCCGCGUGAGGGAUGAAGGCCUUCGGGUUGUAAACCUCUUUCAGUAGGGAAGAAGCGAAAGUGACGGUACCUGCAGAAGAAGCGCCGGCUAACUACGUGCCA